GAAAGAUUAAAUAAAUAAUAAAAAAAGGGUAGUUGCUUAUGUACCUCUGGAAGACUUUCUGAUUUAUUUUUCUUACCAGAUUUAUAUUAAAAAUAUUUUUUUAUAUUUUAAUAUAUUUUAAAUAUAUUUUUAGAGUUAAAUUCUGAUAAUGAACUAUUAGCAAUAGCUAUUAUUUUUAUAAAAUUAUUAUUUUAUCCUUUCAAAUAUGUCUUUUCAUCAUCACCGAAUUUUCUUAUUUAUUUGUCCUUAAGUUAGGGGCACAAAAAGUGUUUUGAUUUUUGGUCUUUUCAAAUACGUCCUUCCACCAUCACCAAUAUUUUUUAUUUGUAAAUAAACAUUUUGAUAUUUUUAAAAUCCUAAUAGAUAUUUAACUUAUAUUUAACCCAAGUUAACUUAAUAUGUGAUAACUGUAGGGAUAUUCUGAAAUAAUAGAGAAACAUAUAAGAGAUAGAUUAGAAAGAAAAAAAAAUAAAUAAAUAAAAUAUUUCUAAAGUUUUAAGAGUAUAUAGACAAUUAUUCCUACGAAACAAGAGUUGUUAGCCACAUAUGUAGG
rnacentral:lncRNA from 1 species